AAAGUCGUAACAAGGUCUCCGUUGGUGAACCAGCGGAGGGAUCAUUACAGAGUUGCAAAACUCCCAACCAUUGUCAACCUACCUCACCGUUGCUUCGGCGGGUGGCCCUCUCCGGGGCCGCGCCGGCCCCCUCCCGGGGGUCGGCAACCCGUCAGAGGAUCGAAACUCUUAGUAACCAUUGGCCUCUCUGAGUAACUUAUACAAUAAGUCAAAACUUUCAACAACGGAUCUCUUGGUUCUG
rnacentral:misc_RNA from 1 species